UACGUAGGGCGCAAGCGUUAUCCGGAAUUAUUGGGCGUAAAGAGCUCGUAGGCGGUCUGUCGCGUCGAUCGUGAAAACUUGGGGCUUAACCCUGAGCUUGCGGUCGAUACGGGCAGGCUGGAGUUCGGUAGGGGAGACUGGAAUUCCUGGUGUAGCGGUGAAAUGCGCAGAUAUCAGGAGGAACACCGGUGGCGAAGGCGGGUCUCUGGGCCGAUACUGACGCUGAGGAGCGAAAGCGUGGGGAGCGAACAGG
rnacentral:rRNA from 1 species